rnacentral:rRNA from 1 species
AGCGAACGCUGGCGGCAGGCUUAACACAUGCAAGUCGAGCGGGCGUAGCAAUACGUCAGCGGCAGACGGGUGAGUAACGCGUGGGAACGUACCUUUUGGUUCGGAACAACACAGGGAAACUUGUGCUAAUACCGGAUAAGCCCUUACGGGGAAAGAUUUAUCGCCGAAAGAUCGGCCCGCGUCUGAUUAGCUAGUUGGUAGGGUAAUGGCCUACCAAGGCGACGAUCAGUAGCUGGUCUGAGAGGAUGAUCAGCAACAUUGGGACUGAGACACGGCCCAAACUCCUACGGGAGGCAGCAGUGGGGAAGUUUGGACAAUGGGGGCAACCCUGAUCCAGCCAUGCCGCGUGAGUGAUGAAGGCCCUAGGGUUGUAAAGCUCUUUUGUGCGGGAAGAUAAUGACGGUACCGCAAGAAUAAGCCCCGGCUAACUUCGUGCCAGCCGCCGCCGUAA